rnacentral:rRNA from 1 species
UACAGAGGUCCCAAGCGUUGUUCGGAUUCACUGGGCGUAAAGGGUGCGUAGGUGGCAGGGUAAGUCGGAUGUGAAAUCUCCGAGCUCAACUCGGAAAUGGCAUUGGAAACUACCCAGCUCGAGGGUUGGAGGGGGGACUGGAAUGCUUGGUGUAGCAGUGAAAUGCGUAGAUAUCAAGCGGAACACCAGUGGCGAAGGCGAGUCCCUGGACAACUCCUGACACUGAGGCACGAAAGCUAGGGGAGCAAACAGG